rnacentral:rRNA from 1 species
UACGUAGGGGGCAAGCGUUGUCCGGAUUCAUUGGGCGUAAAGAGCGUGUAGGCGGCCAGGUAGGUCGGUUGUGAAAACUGGAGGCUCAACCUUCAGACGUCGACCGAAACCAUCUGGCUAGAGUCCGGGAGAGGAGAGUGGAAUUCCCGGUGUAGCAGUGAAAUGCGUAGAGAUCGGGAGGAACAUCAGUUGCGAAGGCGGCUCUCUGGACCAGCACUGACACUGAGGCACGAAAGCGUGGGGAGCAAACAGG